GACCGCCUGGGGAGUACGGCCGCAAGGUUAAAACUCAAAUGAAUUGACGGGGGCCCGCACAAGCGGUGGAGCAUGUGGUUUAAUUCGAUGCAACGCGAAGAACCUUACCUGGUCUUGACAUCCACAGAACUUUCCAGAGAUGGAUUGGUGCCUUCGGGAACUGUGAGACAGGUGCUGCAUGGCUGUCGUCAGCUCGUGUUGUGAAAUGUUGGGUUAAGUCCCGCAACGAGCGCAACCCUUAUCC
rnacentral:rRNA from 1 species